CCUAAAAUCAAAGGGGACAGGGUCUUCUGCCCAGCACUAUGAACUUAACCUAAAACAUAUCUUUUUAAACUGGGUUUUUUUAUCUGAUUGAGUAUUACUCGCUGCAUUGUAUUUCAUUUAAUUUCUUAAAAUAUUGUUUUAAAUUUAUGUAUUGGUUUUGUAUUUGUGUUGUUCUUUUGGUGAGGUUUCUCAAGUCUGAAAAGUCAGCUAUUGGAUUUCAGUAUUUUGUAUGCCUGGAUAAGCAUGGGAAAUAUUUAUAUCCAUAGAUUGUCUUCCCUAUUGCAUGUCUAAAUGUUCUGUCCUUCCAUCUGGCAUUCCUUCCUUCCUUAUUUUCCUUCUUUUGUUUCUUGUGUCUCUUCUUGUUUCCUUCAAUGUGUCUUUCCCUUUCUGUGUUCUUCUUUCUCUUCAUUCUUCCCUUAGUCCUUCCUUUCUCCCUCAGUCUUUUUGUCCUUUGUUCUUUGUUUCUUGUGUUUCUCUGUCCUUUCUUUGUUCCUUUCCUCUCUCUGUCUUGUCUAUCCGUAUUUUACUAUGCAUUUCUACCCUUUCUUCUGUAAUUCCUUUCAUUCCUUUUAUCCUUAAUUUCAUCUUUCUGUGUCUUUACUUCCUUAUAUCUUACCUUUCUUCAUUCCUUGUCACUUACCUUGCAAAUUUUCCAUCUUUCCUUCUGUCCUUCCUUAUGCCCUUCCUUUGUAUUUCCCUUAUGACCUUCUUCCUUCCCUUCUUUUUGUCCUUCCUUCCCUCAUUCCUCCCUCAAAUCAUUCAACUUUCUCUUCUGUUUGUUGUUUCUUUCUGCUUCCCAUCUUUUUUGUAUCAUAUAUUUUAAGAUGGAUGAGCAUAAAGGACUGAACUCUGGAAAUUAGAUUUUGUCAGGAUCUGUGCCAUGUCUGUUUGUUUGGUGCUGUUUACUGUGCUUGGCCUCUAAAUGGCGUGGAUCCUGGAGGAGAGGUGACAGGUGUUCUCUAUCCCCCUGAUUACCUGCUGAGGAGUAUUUAAGGAGGAGGCUGCCAGCAACUCACUGCCAGAGUGUUGCCCUUAGUGGUACAGCUCAAGCCACAUUACCUUUGUCUUGACCUUGCAUUGUACUUUUGUAUUUGUUACCUUGCAGGUUUACCUGAACCUGACUUUGCCUUCUGCAUUGAACCCUACCUGGAUUACCAUCUUCUGGAAAGAAGCUAUCCAGCUCCAUGAACAAAGACUCAAGCCUCUUAUUACUUCGUUGGAUCACACCGGCUGGCAGCCUCCUGAUUCCUUCGUUCCUUGGAUCUCCUUCUACGAACCCUGUCCACCGUCCUCCAUCCACUGCACCAACUUCAGAAACAUCCUGGCACACCAAUAUUCACCAUCUCUUGUCUCACGGGUAAACAACCCCUUGGUCUCCCCACCCCAUUCUGGCGGAUCUCUCCAUCAAUCCAGACACUAACGCAGGCAGAAUCAUGGUUCAGCAGAAAGAGGACUUACAAAAACCACAAGAGGCCCAAAGGGAGAUGAUGACAAACAGGAGAUGAUGACAUACCAGUGACACAUGGAUGACAGUAACAGGAGAACCUGAUAGCAACUAAGAAUUUGCUCUGGGCAAGUGGAAAGCGCAUCAAGAACUCCUACACUUCCCUGCCUCCUCACCGGCUCCCGUCACCCGGCCUGGUUUCUCCAGCAGUUUUUCCUUCCAUCUUCAUCCCUCAAACCGAUCAUCCUACAAAUUUCCAUGCUUCAUUCAUCGUUCAUGGAUUCUCUCCAGCGUUCCACGUCAUCCCUUACUCACCUGCUCUGUGACUUCGCUGCCAUCUCUGCCACAUCAGCAUUUCCUCUUUCCCUCUCCAUCGUAGCUGCCUGCUCCUCGGCUCCUCCCACCGCCGUUCGCCCUUGCUAACGCCCGGCCUAGCUUGC